AGUCGAGCGGAAACGAUGGAAGCUUGCUUCCAGGCGUCGAGUGGCGGACGGGUGAGUAACGCGUAGGAAUCUGCCUGAUAGUGGGGGAUAGCCCGGAGAAAUCCGGAUUAAUACCGCAUAGUCUAUUCGUAGUAAAGGGGGCCUCUAUUUAUAAGCUCUCGCUAUCAGAUGAGCCUGCGUCAGAUUAGCUUGUUGGUGAGGUAAAAGCUCACCAAGGCAACGAUCUGUAGCUGGUCUGAGAGGAUGAUCAGCCACACUGGGACUGAGACACGGCCCAGACUCCUACGGGAGGCAGCAGUGGGGAAUAUUGCACAAUGGGCGCAAGCCUGAUGCAGCCAUGCCGCGUGUGUGAAGAAGGCCUUCGGGUUGUAAAGCACUUUCAGUCAGGAGGAAAGGUUAGUAGUUAAUACCUGCUAGCUGUGACGUUACUGACAGAAGAAGCACCGGCUAACUCCGUGCCAGCAGCCGCGGUAAUACGGAGGGUGCGAGCGUUAAUCGGAAUUACUGGGCGUAAAGCGUACGCAGGCGGUUUGUUAAGCGAGAUGUGAAAGCCCCGGGCUCAACCUGGGAACUGCAUUUCGAACUGGCAAACUAGAGUGUGAUAGAGGGUGGUAGAAUUUCAGGUGUAGCGGUGAAAUGCGUAGAGAUCUGAAGGAAUAC
rnacentral:rRNA from 1 species